AGUUUGAUCAUGGCUCAGGAUGAACGCUAGCGGCAGGCUUAAUACAUGCAAGUCGAACGGGAUUCAGGGUAGCAAUACUUUGAUGAGAGUGGCGCACGGGUGCGUAACGCGUAUGCAACCUACCUUUAACAGGGGAAUAGCCCCGAGAAAUCGGGAUUAAUACUCCGUAACAUUGCGGGAUGGCAUCAUUCUGCAAUUAAAGAUUUAUCGGUUAAAGAUGGGCAUGCGUGACAUUAGCUAGUUGGUGAGGUAACGGCUCACCAAGGCAACGAUGUCUAGGGGUCCUGAGAGGGUUAUCCCCCACACUGGUACUGAGACACGGACCAGACUCCUACGGGAGGCAGCAGUAAGGAAUAUUGGUCAAUGGGCGCAAGCCUGAACCAGCCAUGCCGCGUGCAGGAAGACGGCCCUAUGGGUUGUAAACUGCUUUUGUCAGGGAAUAAACCUGUCUACGUGUAGACAGCUGAAGGUACCUGAAGAAUAAGCAUCGGCUAACUCCGUG
rnacentral:rRNA from 1 species